rnacentral:pre_miRNA from 1 species
GGUAGGGUAGAACUAACCUGUCAAAUGUUCAGUGUGACAGGUUAGAUCUGCUGUACAGG